rnacentral:rRNA from 1 species
CUUACCCAUUUCCGGGGGAUAACAGUUGGAAACAGCUGCUAAUACCGCAUAAGCCUAAGGGUUAAAGAAGUAAUUCGGGAAUGGAGAGACUCGCGUCCUAUCAGCUAGUAGGUGAGAUAAGAGCUCACCUAGGCUAAGACGGGUAACCGGACUGAGAGGUCGAACGGUCACACUGGAACUGAGACACGGUCCAGACUCCUACGGGAGGCAGCAGUGGGGAAUUUUGGGCAAUGGGGGGAACCCUGACCCAGCGACGCCGCGUGAGUGAAGAAAUUCCUCGGAAUGUAAAGCUCUGUUGUAUGGGAAGAUAAUGACGGUACCAUACGAGGAAGCCCCGGCAAACUACGUGCCAGCAGCCGCGGUAAUACGUAGGGGGCAAGCGUUGUCCGGAAUUACUGGGCGUAAAGCGCACGCAGGCGGAAUUGUAAGUCCGUUGUAAAAAUUCAGAGGCUCAACCUCUGUCUGUCGGCGGAUACUGCAAAUCUAGAAUAUGUGAGAGGGAAGUUGGAAUUCCUGGUGUAGCGGUGAAAAUGCGUAGAUAUCAGGAGGAACUCCGGUGGCGAAAGCGACUCCUGGCACAAGACUGACGCCUCAUGUGCGAAAGCUAGGGUAUCGAACGGGAUUAGAUACCCCGAGUAGUCCUAGCCGUAAAUGAUGGAUACUA